UCGCGCUGUGCCUAAAGUGGAGGGUCGCUGCUCAAAAGCAGGAUAGGUGCGAGCAAAUGGAGGUGACACCGCAACGCACCGGGGAUUUAGAUAAGGUCCUGCAUUUGCUGAGGUCGUCUGGUUCCCCGCGAGCUGCUGUUAGGAUCUUGUUUGUUGUAAAGCGCCUGAAGCAAAGGAUCGACCAGUGGCCUGUGACGAUGUUUAUCGACAGCAGCGCAACUGGUGGCAACCCUAUUGUCCUCAUCAUCCAGAAAUGCGGCACAAAUAAAAACAUACUCCACCUGUUCACCCCCGAGGGGAACCUGUCCCGCCUGGAGGCAUUCCUGAGGUCGGCAGAGGUUGCUCGGAGCCUGUGGAUGAGAACCGUGUACGUGCCCAGCCUGCCGCUGUACAUGAUGUCCACGCUACUCCCCUUGGCAAGGGAAUUCAAGUUUAACGUCCACACGGCACUUGAGCAUGGCGUCUUCGCGCUGGAUGAAGCUCCUGCCUCUCCCAAACCCCUGCCGGGAGUGGUGAUCCAGCCGCUGCACGAGACGCACCUGGCGAAGGUGAUGCAUCAUUGGGAGCCAGUGAUCCGCCCAGUGGAC